UAUAAAUCUGAUGUGAAUGCAAGCUUCUAGUCAAGCAUUUUAAAUGAAAACGAGUAGUAAAUGUAAUCCUGCAGCAUACUCUUUAAAUGCUAUUUGUCUUUCUCUUGAGAUUUAACAACAGAGGUAAUCACUUGUGACUCAAACACUGCCAGUCUCCAUUGUGACCAGGGACGCAUUAAAGUGCUUUCAGCCAAUUUUGGACGUACGAACAGUGCAACUUGCUCCAGUGGAAAACCAGCAAACCAGAUCUCAAAUGUUCAAUGCACUCAGAGUUCAUCUUUAAGUGUGCUGGCCAUUAGAUGUAAUGGACGAAAAGAUUGUUCCAUUCUUGCAAGUAGCACAGUUUUCAGUGAUCCCUGUGUAGAAACUUACAAAUAUCUGAACGUGUCCUACAUCUGUAUACCAUCAAGUAAGUUCAUGUUAACACUUAUAAAAAAGUGUUUAACUUUUGCAUGAAUAGCUUUUUGUCUGCCUACAGAUGCAAUAAUACAGAAAAUGACUACUUGUGGAGGUCGCACAUUCAGUAUCAACUGUAGUAAGUUUCAAUUGAUCUCUUACUCUGUGUGUUUGUGUGGGUUUGUAUAUGUGGUUUGCAGGGACAUGAAUAAUGUAUAACUGAACGGCUUAAACAAAUAGUACUUCUUCAUAGGUUUUUAUGAUGGUUGGGGUUGGG